AAAGGGCAUCAGAGCAUCCCCAAGGGGGGAGGUGACUCCUCAAGGGGAGGAGGUGGCAGUGUCCCCAAGGGAGAGGUGACAGCAGGUGACAGGAGGUGACAGUGUCCCUGUCCCCUCCCCCGUCCAGGUGUGCUGUACAACCAGUUCCUGUCCCAGGUGGAUUUCGAGGUGCUGCGGGACCACGCCCGCGCUCUGGGGGUGCUCGUCUUCGAGAACCCCGCGCGGCGCCUGAUGGUGGUGACACCCGCCGGUCACCCCGACGUCAAACGCUUCUGGAAACGCCAGAAACACAACGGCUGACCCCAAAAUCCCCAAAAUCCCUGAAAUUCUGGGGUUUGGGAUCCCAAAAACCCCAAAAUCCCUGAAAUUCUGGGGUUUGGGAUCCCAAAAUCCCUGAAAUUCUGGGGUUUGGGAUCCCAAAAACCCCAAAAUCCCUGAAAUUCUGGGGUUUGGGAUCCCAAAACCACCGAAAUCCAGAGUUUGGGACCCCAAAAUCCCCAAAAUUCUGGAGUUUGGGAUCCCAAAAUUCUGGAAUUUGGGACCUCAAAAACCCCGAAUUCCAGUUUGGGAUCCCAAAAAACCCCAAAUUCCAUUAAUUGGGAUCCCAAAAACCCCAAAAUCUUGCAGUUUGGGGUCCGAAACCCCUGGAAUUCCAGAGUUUGGGAUCCCCAAAACCCCAAAAUCCUGGAAUUUGGGACCUCAAAAACCUCAAAUCCCAGAGUUUGGGAUCCCAAAACCCCAGAAUUCCAGAGCUUGGGACUCCAAAAACCUGAAAUUCUGGAGUUUAGGACCCCCAAAAAAACCAAAGUUAGGGAAUUUGGGAUCGCAAAACCCCCAAAUCCCAGAAUUUGGGAUCCCAAAAACCCCAAAAAUCCUGAAAUUUGGGGUCCCCACAGCCGGAAUUUGGGGAUUUCAGUUUCUCAUUCCCAGAAAAAAAAAACGGAUUUUGGGGGGGAGGGAAAUGUAAUUUUUUUGUAAAAACGAUGUUUUUUGGGAAGUCUUUUUGUAAUAAAAACGUUUUGAGCAAAAAGAAAAAGGGGAAC
rnacentral:lncRNA from 1 species